GUUUUCAGAGACUCCCUCUAAGCCCUCCGUGUACAAGAAGCGGAAUAUCUCCGCUACCGUUAGCGUUUAUGACUCCCCCGGCCUCCCUUCCCUCCCCUCAGCUCCUAUAAAGUGUUGGCUCUGGUUUGUGUAGAAAUCAGAAUUCCUGACCUGCAGGAACUCUAAGGAAUGAGCUCACCUUCUCCUGCAUGAGGAGUUUCUAGGCUGCAGCAAAAUGCAGAUGACUUGACAGUGGAAAUUCUUAUUGCCUCCAAAAGUAACAUUUUAUGAGCUACAGUUUUAUCAGUGCUGCGUGCUCUUACUUCAGCACAUUAUCCAUCUUAUGUGGAGCUGCAGGAUGACUACUACAAACAGCCAAAUAGGUGUUUAUAUUAUGCUGUCUUCGUAAAGUGAUAUUGUAACUAUCUUAUAAUGAGGUACUUCCCUAUUUCGAGUCUAAGCUAUCUGUAACUAAGGGACAUCUGUAUUUUUCUUUAUUUUCUCCUUUGCUUUUUAGUUAGUUUUUUUUGCUAGCUAAGGCAGAGAAGUUCCCCAAACUGUGGUUUUUCUUUUUCUUAGAACUGUUCAAACCUGCUCUCAACUAAAAACCCAGAAAACCACCAAAAUCUCACACCUGUAGCCCACCAGGCAGAGAUGCUGCAUUCCAGUGCUGGAGGGACUGAUAAUUGAGUGAGCCGAGCUGCACCUCACAAAAAUGACUUUCUACCUUUGUCAUGUCUUCAAAACGAGAAGAUAGGUUAGUUUUUGUUGUUCAUUUUUCAUGCUAGUAAAUACUUUACCUAUUAAAUAAACAGAUUUUUUCCACUUUUCUCCAAAGAAAUCUUUCCCAAAACCAAUUAAAAGAACUUAUAUUUGCUUUCUAAAAAAACCCCAACUCAAAAGUUU
rnacentral:lncRNA from 1 species